GAAAAUUUAAAUUAGCAAGUAAAACUGUCAAAUUUAGUAAAGUUUACCUUUUAUACUGACGAUUACACAAGUUACGAAGGCGGCACAUUUAAUUCCUGGCAAUGAUGAGAAUUCGAAUGAGAAAGGUCUGGGUCAAUCCUUAGAUAUUUUAUCAGAUUGGGCUUUUCGGUUGGAUUUCCAAUUUUUAGUCCGUCUUUUUCAAAUUCAAUCCUCUAUUGUUUGGGCCUUUUACGUUGGACAUUCAGCCAUUCUUUGUCUCCUCUUAUGGACCAAAUCGGGUAUGUCUCAAUUACUCCCUGUUAUAGGCCUUUAGUAAAAUAUCAUGGACCAUUUAUAGUUUUCUAUUAAAAAUUCUGUUUAAUAAAAAACUAGGGGGCAAUGUUGAGUCAUGAUAUUUUCCUCUAUUUGGGCCGAAUGAAUUGGGCUCACUUAUUUAAUUAGUCUAUUGGGCCUUCAUUAUUGAACCUUGAAAGUCAUUGGGCCUAGUCAUCAUAUUAUUUCUAUUAAAACCUUAUGAGACCGGGUCGGUUCAUUAGACUAACCCAUUAGAUAUUUUAAUAUCUAUUACUUUGACUUGUAAUGAUGAAAAAACAUGAUAGUUGACUGCUGUAACUGCCAUGCAUUAAUGUGGAUGGGAUCAUAG
rnacentral:lncRNA from 1 species